GACGAACGCUGGCGGCGUGCUUAACACAUGCAAGUCGAACGCUGAACCCGCUUCGGUGGGGGAUGAGUGGCGAACGGGUGAGUAACACGUGGGCAGCCUGCCCCCGGCUCUGGGAUAACUCCAAGAAAUUGGGGCUAAUACCGGAUGUGACCGCUGGCCGCAUGGUCUGGUGGUGGAAAGGGUUUCCGGCUGGGGAUGGGCCCGCGGCCUAUCAGCUUGUUGGUGGGGUAGUGGCCUACCAAGGCGACGACGGGUAGCCGGCCUGAGAGGGUGACCGGCCACACUGGGACUGAGACACGGCCCAGACUCCUACGGGAGGCAGCAGUGGGGAAUAUUGCGCAAUGGGCGGAAGCCUGACGCAGCGACGCCGCGUGGGGGAUGACGGCCUUCGGGUUGUAAACCUCCUUCAGCAGGGACGAAGCGCAAGUGACGGUACCUGCAGAAGAAGCACCGGCCAACUACGUG
rnacentral:rRNA from 1 species